rnacentral:lncRNA from 10 species
GUUUAUUUGAACACGAAGUUGGAGGAUAGUCACAUAGGAAACACAGACUCUCAAAAUGGAAAGUUAAAGUCUCAUUUACAUAGUCAGAGGCAGAGGUUUAACAGGUUGCAGCAUUUUCCAACAAGAUCAAGACAUAGGUUAUAGCGAUUUGACUUGAUUGGUCACAGCUCGCUACACUAAGGAAGCUUGUUUUAACAUCCCAUAAGGAAGGGUAAUGGUCUUGAGGCGGUCUCACCUCUGGUACCAUUCAGUCUUUCCUAAUCAUUACAGGACAAGAAUGAGGAAGAGAUUUGACCCAGAAUAAAGAAGCAGAAGGUGCAGCUUCACACCAUGCGACGCAGGCCCCACAGCCACGUUCCUCUCAAGGCUCAAAAUCAGGGCCAUGUGCCAAGCUGUACAGAACUGACGGGGCAUAGGCCGAACCUGGAGCCACAUGAAGGAAGUGACGUGGUGACCUUGGUCAGGCUACACAGCUGCAUUGUCCGUUAAUGGGAUUCUGACAAGAAUGAGGAAGAGAUUUGACCCAGAAUCAAAGAAGUUGCAGCUUCACACCUUGUGACUCAAGCCACACGGCCACAUUCCUCUCAAGGUGCAAAAUGAUCUCAACUUACAACAGCUUCACAUCUGAAUUAUUUCAUUUCACAGGGACUUUAUACCAAGGUUCUCCACGUUGCACAAAGAUCACUACACCUUCCAAAACCCUGCUCAGGACGUCUUAGUCAUGCAUUCACAAUGGGAACUGGAAGUAAAAAGCAUUGAGACUGUUCCACUGACAAUUGUUUUACUUCUUUUUUAUCUUCAUUAGCAGGCAUCAGGCAACUUUAACCAACCUUCUAGGCAGUUGUCAGUGAUCAUUGUCAUAUUAAAGUGCAUGUUAUAGAUUAUAAAUUACUUUCAUGUUAUUUUUCCUUUAUCUUACACUUACUUACAGCAUUAUGUUGAUUUUUAAACUAUAUGGAAAGGGAAGUUACAUGAGCUAUAAAUUCCCCAUUACAUGGUCAAGCCGCAUUACAAAAGACUUGCUAUAUUAGAAGAGGGCAGUGGAAAGUCUUGCUUAAAAUCUUAGUGUUAAAAUUCUCACUAAAAUGUAAGUCACUGAGAGUAUCUCUCUCUUUGCCUCAGAAUAAGCUGUGAUGAGAGACAUAGAAAUAAGAGGGGUAAGUUUGGGGGUUGCACAAACAACGCUUGCUGAAGUUUUACACCCUCCCCUGAGCCCUGGGCAUGGAGCUGGGGUCAUGCCAGGUGGCUUUCUGGAUAUCAUCACUUCUUCCUCGCAGAAGCCGCAUUGUAUGUGUAUGCAUAUAUAUGUAUGUGUGAUGCGUG